UAAAGCGCGCGUAGGUGGUUUGUUAAGUUGGAUGUGAAAUCCCCGGGCUCAACCUGGGAACUGCAUCCAAAACUGGCAAGCUAGAGUAUGGUAGAGGGUGGUGGAAUUUCCUGUGUAGCGGUGAAAUGCGUAGAUAUAGGAAGGAACACCAGUGGCGAAGGCGACCACCUGGACUGAUACUGACACUGAGGUGCGAAAGCGUGGGGAGCAAACAGGAUUAGAUCCCUAGU
rnacentral:rRNA from 1 species